GAGGGUGUAGCUCAGUGGGAGAGCACUACGUUGACAUCGUAGGGGUCCCGAGUUCAAAUCUCGGCAUCCUCA
rnacentral:tRNA from 1 species